UCCCUGGUGGUCCAGUGGUUAGGACUCUGUACUUUAAUUGCUGAGGGCCAGGGUCAGUCCCUGGUUGGGGAC
rnacentral:tRNA from 1 species